GGGCCCGUAGCCUAGCACGGAUCAGGGCGUCAGCCUGCGAAGCUGGAGACCGAGGGUUCAAAUCCCUCCGGGCCCGCCA
rnacentral:tRNA from 1 species